AAUUGUCUCAUUAAGCUAAUAAUUUUGAAAAUCCCAGUUUAGUCCUUCGAAAUACAAUUUUAAAACUAACUGUAAUACAUUAAAUUAAUAUAAUAUACAGAACCAAUUAAUUUUUUUUUUUUUUAAAUCCCCAAAUCAAAACCCCUAACCCUAAUUAUUUCAGUCUCAUUCUCUAGGCCUCUCUAAUUCUGGUGGCGACAAAGUCAACAGGUCUCUAUUGGUGGGGAGAAGAAGAUACCGACUCAAAUCUCUUCUUCUCCGGCGUAAAUCUCUUCUUCUCCGGCUUAAUCUCUUAUUCUCUCAUGUAAAACGAAGCGCAGACACUAGAAGAUAUGUAAUUUGGCACUAAUCCUGGUACUAUCGGGUUAAUGGGUCAGUUCACCAAACCGUUGGAUCAUCUGAGUUUGUACUUAUGAAGAUAAGGAAGGAGAUUGGAUGCUCGUUGGUGAUGUUCCAUGGAGAAUGCUCAUCACCUCGGUUAAAAGGAUUCGUGUGAUGAAAACGUCUGAAGCUAAUGGUCUAGACUAUCUUGUCUUGACUUAUGAUAUUGUUUGUUGAAACAUAUAAUGAAAAAAUCUUAGUAUAUAAUAUGCAGGAUACUUGUGAAGCAAGUAAAAGGAAGAAACAGAAGCUAGGUUGAUCUUAUUCAGUUUGUGAUGUUUCUUUGGUUCUUCUAAUGUUCUUUAAGGGUUUUUUUUGGCUUGAUGUCUUUUGUUUUACUGUUGCUAUUACUAUGGAAGAGAAUGCUCUUUAUUUGUUUUACUACACUGUAAAUAUUUGAAGCUU